AUGCUUGCCUUGGCAGCACAUAUACUAAAAAUGGAAUGAUACGAGAAGAUGAACAUGAUCCUUGCACAAGAAUGAUGCACUAAUUUGUGGAACAUUCCAUACUUUU
ensembl:snRNA U6 U6 spliceosomal RNA